CUCGGAGUUGAUCCUGGCUCAGGAUGAACGCUAGCGGCAGGCUUAACACAUGCAAGUCGAGGGGUAUAGUUCUUCGGAACUAGAGACCGGCGCACGGGUGCGUAACGCGUAUGCAAUCUACCUUUUACAGAGGGAUAGCCCAGAGAAAUUUGGAUUAAUACCUCAUAGUAUGUGGGAAUCGCAUGGUUUUCACAUUAAAGUUCCAACGGUAAAAGAUGAGCAUGCGUCCCAUUAGCUUGUUGGUAAGGUAACGGCUUACCAAGGCAACGAUGGGGUAGGGGUCCUGAGAGGGAGACUCCCCCACACUGGUACUGAGACACGGUCCAGACUCC
rnacentral:rRNA from 1 species